UCGGUGAUUUUUAAUAUCAUUUGAUUUUUAAUAUCAUAGAAUGGUAAUGGAGUUUAUUUUCAUCGAUUCUCUUGUACAAGUAAUGAUUAAAGCUCUUGUUCACAGAUGGAGCUAGAUGCAACUCCGAUGAUGAAGAAGAAAUGACUCCUCGAGUCUUCUGAUUUCCUGAUAGUGUCCGGUUGUUAGCGACCGUCGUUGCUACCGCGGCGUCGUGGUUUUAGCAAUAGUGUGUCAUUCGUGUAAAGUGUAAAAAAGUAGCUCAUGUAAAAGUGCUCCAAACACGACGGUUUUCGGCGAUGCUUGACAAGGGGAAGAUGCAUGCUGCCUGACGACCGUCAAGAUGUGGACUUCGAACGAUACGUCUAGUCGAAGAUUCCCGCGCGAAUUCUGCUCAGAUUGACGAGGGAAUAGCUUAAAGUGGAAGAUGAUAGCGACGCACGGUGCUAAAAUUGAUUGACUGGGUUAAUUACUUUGCCGAAUCCAGGUCUCUCAAGUACAACUCUAUUUGCGUAUUUGAGUUAGCGAAGAGGCUGCAGUAUGCUGUCGUCGCUCGUGGCAAAUUCAUUGGGAAUUCGAGCAAAUUCGAGGCGUCGUUCGUAUCGGUGGAAAAAAGUGAGCUUUUCUCUGUCCGGGCUAUUUACCCUGGGCCACUCGCCACGCUCGAGAAGCCCCUGUGUGACAGUGUCGCGUCGCGUCACAUAGUGAAGAAGAAGUGAUAGCAACCGUCUCACGGUGUAACGACCUUCUCUGGUUCGCGUACGCGCCGGAGGAAAACCGGCCAGAGACUUGGGGCUUCUGCUCGCUUGUUGACCGAGUGUCUUCAAGCCCGGCCUGGCAAAGAGGGCUUCCAGGCCUCAGGGGGUGAGUACUUCUUCUGCUGCUUCCUCCACUUUUUUUUCUUCCUCGUUUUGCACCUUCUUCUUGCAGCUACUCCUACGUCGUUGUCCUCCUUUUUCUUCGUCGCGACUUUCUCCCUCCGCCCCUUGGUCUCCUCGUGUUUUCUAUUUCCCCACUUAUCUCUACGGCAUCCCCGUCUUAAUUUCUUGCCGUUCGACGAGAUAAGGGAAGAACGUGGGCAUCUUAGGCGCCGAGAACAAGGGCUUAUGCCCUGCCGUUAUUGCCACCCGUUCGAUACGUUAAGUGGCGUGUAUCGAUGGUGUACCUCGUUCUUUGCGUCGUUUCUUUACCCAGACUUGUCCGAGCGAACGGGUUACAGAAAUUAUUCGAAGGACGGUACGGAGUACAUUGAACAGGAAACUUCUCGGAAAGGUGAGAAAAAUUAGCGCGAGGAGUAGUGGCCGAUGUGAAUUCUUCGAUUCAUAGAAUAGACUCGCAUAGAGAACGAAGAUGUAUCUAGAAAUGUGGAAGACAAAAAUUGACAAAGACUAGUAUUUUGAUGUGAAUUCUUCGAUCGAUAGGAUCGAUUCAUAGACAGGAUGAAGAUGUAUCUGAAGACGCGAAAGGGAAAAAUUGGCAUGGGUAGUAUUCGAUGUGAAUUCUUCGAUUGAUAGCGUAGAUUCGUGAAGGGAAUGAAGAUGAAUCUAGAAACGUAAAAGGGAAAAAUUGACACAGGAUAAUGUUGCAUAUAAAUCCUUCAAUUAGUAGAAUAAUUUGCAGAUGAAUGGGAUUAAAGGUGUAUCUACAACAAAUGGCACGUGUCUUGCUAUUCCGGCAGACAGAAAUCUUAUAAACUUGAUAGAUUGUGACGUGUUGUUCGCGUAUGAUUUAUUCGCUUAUUUUAUUAUUCGUUUAGUUGUGUGAUACUGCCAUAAAGAUUUAUUUCGGGAUAAUAGUUACAGAACAUACACACAUACACAAAGUCUGUAAAAUCUCUUGUAGAAAGAGAAAAAAGAAAACACCCCGCUGGCCUUACUAAAGAAAUGAAAUAGUCAAACUCAAAGAUGAUAUCCCACUGGGGGUAGCCAUUCACAUGUUAUUUAGCAAUUAAGUUAGAAAAAUUUACCAAAUGUCCAGCUGUUCAAAUUGUAAAGUACAAAUUAAAUAAUAAUAAAAAAAUAGAAUCUGUUCACGAGAAGAUUGUUUGAACGAAUUAUUUCAUUUCCCGUAUUCUUGGGCACACGGUCGUCAAAAGAAGGACUUAGGCUCGCGCCUCUUGUUGACCGAGUGCCUUUAAAGUCGGCUGCUGCCAGGAAACUCUUUCUUCCCCGCAAAACGCCUUCUCUUCCGGUACCAUACACCGAACUUCUCUCUGUCGCUCUUCUCACCACCGUCCCUUCACCUCGAUUUCUUACAUCCCCUAAAUUCUCUUGUAACGCCCUCGUAAUAUUUAUCGUUCCUCUUACGUUUCUUGGGCGAUGCGUUCGCGAUCGUCCUUAGAGCGUUGCAACGAACCGCUGGAUGCAGCGAUCGUUUUUUCCAGGCUGUCAGUUUGCUUCGUUAAAAAGAUGGAGCUUUUGCGACACGGACGUUAUUUUGAAAAUAAAUAGUCGGUAUAUUUUCAUCGGUAGAAAAUUAUGAUUAGACUAUCCCAUGACUAGACCAUUGAUUAAAACAUUUAAUAGAUGGGACCAUUCACUACCUGGGUAUUUUAACUUGUACUUUUUAUGCUUUUGUUUACGCUUUUUUUAAUUCGUAAAAAUGAGUAUUUGCGUAAAUAUCCGCAGCUUAGAAAUUAUUUUUAUUGUUCUGGGCUUCCAACUAUGAAACUAUGAAACGCUAUGUGAAAAUAUCCUGGCUUGUUUAUUUAUAAUAUCUCCGUAAUGUCAUACAAUCAAAUUGCGUUUUAAUUCUCGGAUCAAUGUAUGAAACUAUAAUUAGUAUUAAUCAAUUAAUUAUAAUAAUUGUAAUAUAAUAAUUAUAAAUUAAUAAUAACCACGUAAUUACGAAUUUCACGUAAGACGUCAGUUGAUAUUCUCGAUGCAAAUUCCGAUUACGAGAUCAAAACUGAUUUAUCCAGCCAAUAAAACGUAAUUUGGUGUAAGACGACAAGGAAAAACGAGAUUAGCCGAAUUAACGCUCAAGUCGAUUCAUGACAAAUUGCCUUCUGGCUGAUGUAACAUCAUCAGAAGAUAAAUAAUCCUCCAAGGAUCCGGAACAUUAGCCCUUGAUAACUGGAAGGUUAGCAAGGUGAUGAUAUAGGUCAACAGAGGGACUAGGCCCAAGGGGAAGCCAACCCCAUAUCCACCAAUUGUUUCUGUACUGUAUUAUGGAUUUACGACGUGUCUACCUGAAUGCACAGACGUCGGUUCCUAACAGUUCUGUAUUCAUAAAGCAAUCGAAGGCUUGGCAGCAAAAACUUGUCAAUUUUUCUGUCAUCCCGGCAGUUACUGUGUUUUUUCGAAAUUUGAAAAUUCCUCGGAAUAGCUGUCAACACGGCGUUGACACCAAUUUCAAACUCGAUUUUUCUAAAAAAAAAAAAAAGAAAAAAAGAGGCUUCGAACGAAAGAAUUUUUAACUCACUUCUAUGCAUGCAACAAUUUGUAGAUUUCCGAUAUAUAUUUUACGUAUAUCUUCAGCUGCAUACUAUACGCGUCUACGUCCGGCAAUUCGAAGUCAUUUUUCACUUUUCCCAUAGUUUUGUUUAAAGUUUACUUCCCUUUGAAAAAUUAAGGUAACACACGGCAAUAAAGGCUAUUCGAUGAUAGCCUGGGAACUCGAAGGGUAUUCGACGAAAUUUCGGAGGAUUUUUUAAAACUCAGAAACGUGAAAACGACCACGAGUUGCGCUUAAACGACCCAGUAUUAUGCGGACGUCGUCAGUAAAGAUGAGAUUGCAGGCAGAACGUUAAGCUUGGACAUAAACCAAAUGAUGCUGUCCCACAAUUUGGGGAUUAAAACAGGGAUUAAAUAUAUAGACGCAUGAGCGUAAUAUAACUUGCGAAUCACGUGUCUCUACAAAAAGUUAAGAUGGUCGAAUUGGAUAGAUGCUUGGGUAUAGUAUUUCAGGUAUAAUUCCAAUUUUGCUCGUCCGUAUAAUACAUUCGAGAAUAGAUUCAAAGUUGGUGCAGUAGAAUAGUUGAUAUAAUUGGGAUUCGCGUACAAUAGGAGCUCAUCAAUUUUCCUCGCUACCUAUUACUUUUCGUUCGUAUAAUAGGAUGGCUUGCAUUCAGGUAACCGAAUUCAAGCAUCAAAAGUUCAGUUAAUCGGGCACUAACUAAAAUUCUGCAACUGUAACGUAAAUGACGUUCCUAACGAGGCCUCCGCGACUACCAGAGAUACUUUCGAUCAAGUUGAUCAACAGCGGAUUUUGGCAAUUCACCGCGGCAACGUGAAUAACGUUCUUGGCAACCGUACGCAAAGCUACGUCGUGGCAAUUUGAUUGGUUGGGCAAAUGUGCGUGCGUACAUGAACCACCGGUGACCUGUUUCUGACGUCUGUUUCACGUGGCAUUGUCGACGUCGUUUAGGCGAAAAUGCGUUAUAUAUGCGAGCAAAGGUGGAGCCGUGGGAAGGCGAGAGAAGCCAGCAAAGUGUUGUUAGCUUCUCGUUCGGCGCAUUGUGUGCCAGUUUUCAAAGGAGCUGCUUGUUUGCACGCAGUUCCAUUUCUUUUUCGUCGCACGGCACAAUUCCAUGUAAAUUUUUCCCAAGCUUUACCUCCUUUUCUUUUUCCAACGACAGUAUUAUUCGUAUAAUUGCGACGAAACGGAAUGUGAAGUUGUUCAACGUUUAAUGUGACGUAUGUUGCACGUAUUUAGUUGAAAUAAUUGCGAAUGGAUGGAGGAUUUUAGUUAAUAGAAACGAGAAAUUUCUUCUUGUUACUGGUAUUUUCCAACGUUGAAAUCGUAGACACGAAUUAGGGGCUAAAAAUUGUUUCGACGAUAUUAUACUUGUGAAAAUGAUCAAAGUUGAAAUUACGAUUGUGAAUUAUACCAGAUUUUAAUUAUUACGGUUGAGGAAGUUUUUUAGAGUUGACUGUGUAGCAAUGAAAGUGAAAGUUGAUUUGAAAAAUUCGAAACUAACUUAUCACCACGUACGAUUAAAAUAUUCCGCAAAUCUUGGACAUUAACGAAAUUGCAAUUGUAGUUGAGAAACUAGAAAGUAGUUUCAAUGAUCGAAGGAUCGUAUGUAUUUGAGAAUUUUAUUCGUGAAUUACAAAUAAAAAUUAUUAAUCUUA